UCAAAGGAAUUGGCGGGGGUCCGCACAAGCGGUGGAGCAUGUGGUUAAAUUCGAUGAUACGCGAGGAACCUUACCAAGGUUUAAAUGUAUUACGAAUAAGCUAGAAAUAGCUUAGUCUAUAUGACGAAAUACAAGGUGCUGCAUGGUUGUCGUCAGUUCGUGCUGUGAAGUGUUUGGUUAAGUCCUAUAACGAGCGCAACCCCUAUUGUUAGUUGCCAUCAGGUAAAGCUGGGGACUCUAACAAAACUGCCGGUGUAAACUGUGAGGAAGGUGGGGAUGAUGUCAAAUCAUCAUGGCCUCUAUGCCUUGGGCUACACACGUGCUACAAUGGCUGGUACAAAGGGCAGCCACUGGGUGACCAGGAGCUAAUCUCUAAAACCAGUCUCAGUUCGGAUUGAAGUCUGCAAUUCGACUCUAUGAAGUUGGAAUCGCUAGUAAUCGCGCAUCAGCAAUGGCGCGGUGAAUAUGUUCUCGGACCUUGCACACACCGCCCGUCAAGCCAUGGGAGUCGGAAGUACCUAAAGUCAGUAACCAUUAAUGGUCUGCCUAAGGUAAAAUUGAUGACUAGGGCUAAGUCGUAACAAGGUAACCA
rnacentral:rRNA from 1 species